rnacentral:rRNA from 1 species
UACGUAGGGUGCAAGCGUUGUCCGGAAUUAUUGGGCGUAAAGAGCUCGUAGGCGGUCUGUCGCGUCGGCUGUGAAAACCCGGAGCUCAACUCCGGGCCUGCAGUCGAUACGGGCAAACUGGAGUGUUGCAGGGGAGACUGGAAUUCCUGGUGUAGCGGUGAAAUGCGCAGAUAUCAGGAGGAACACCAAUGGCGAAGGCAGCUCACUGGGACGGUAUUGACGCUGAGACGCGAAAGCGUGGGGAGCAAACAGG